GACGAACCGUGCGAACGUUAUUCGGAAUCACUGGGCUUAAAGCGCGUGUAGGCGGGAGGGCACGUCCGUCGCUGAAAUCCCCCGGCUCAACCGGGGAACGGGCGCGGAUACGACCUUCCUUGAGGGGCGUAGGGGGACCCGGAACUUCCGGUGGAGCGGUGAAAUGCGUUGAGAUCGGAAGGAACGCCCGUGGCGAAAGCGAGGUCCUGGACGCCUACUGACGCUGAGACGCGAAAGCCAGGGGAGCGAACGGG
rnacentral:rRNA from 1 species